rnacentral:rRNA from 1 species
AUUGAACGCUGGCGGCAUGCCUUACACAUGCAAGUCGAACGGUAACAGGUCUUCGGAUGCUGACGAGUGGCGAACGGGUGAGUAAUAUAUCGGAACGUGCCCAGUCGUGGGGGAUAACGCAGCGAAAGCUGUGCUAAUACCGCAUACGAUCUAUGGAUGAAAGCGGGGGAUCGCAAGACCUCGCGCGAUUGGAGCGGCCGAUAUCAGAUUAGGUAGUUGGUGGGGUAAAGGCCCACCAAGCCAACGAUCUGUAGCUGGUCUGAGAGGACGACCAGCCACACUGGAACUGAGACACGGUCCAGACUCCUACGGGAGGCAGCAGUGGGGAAUUUUGGACAAUGGGCGCAAGCCUGAUCCAGCAAUGCCGCGUGAGGGACGAAGGCCUUCGGUUGUAAACCUCUGUCUGGGGGAGUGAGAACGGACGGUACCCCCGGACGGAAGCCCCGGCGUAACUACGUGCCAGCAGCCGCGGUAAAACUAGACGUACU